rnacentral:rRNA from 1 species
GAUGAACGCUGGCGGCGUGCCUAAUACAUGCAAGUCGAGCGAACGGACGAGAAGCUUGCUUUUCUGAUGUUAGCGGCGGACGGGUGAGUAACACGUGGAUAACCUACCUAUAAGACUGGGAUAACUUCGGGAAACCGGAGCUAAUACCGGAUAAUAUUUUGAACCGCAUGGUUCAAAAGUGAAAGACGGUCUUGCUGUCACUUAUAGAUGGAUCCGCGCUGCAUUAGCUAGUUGGUAAGGUAACGGCUUACCAAGGCAACGAUGCAUAGCCGACCUGAGAGGGUGAUCGGCCACACUGGAACUGAGACACGGUCCAGACUCCUACGGGAGGCAGCAGUAGGGAAUCUUCCGCAAUGGGCGAAAGCCUGACGGAACAACGCCGCGUGAGUGAUGAAGGUCUUCGGAUCGUAAAACUCUGUUAUUAGGGAAGAACAUAUGUGUAAGUAACUGCGCACAUCUUGACGGUACCUAAUCAGAAAGCCACGGCUAACUACGUG